AGGAGGUCGCGUGGGGCAGCCUCAUCUACCAGCUCCUGUCCGUCAUCUUCAUCACCUUCUUCGCCCCCGCCCUCAAGAUGGUCCUCCUCACCCUCAUCGCGGCCACGCUCAGGGUCAUCUCCGUCUACUUCUUCGGCGAGGAGGACAUGGCACUAGUGGUGGGCAACGAAGGUUACGUGUACUACGCCUACGUCCUGCUCGGCAACUACAUCGGAUUCGGCCCCAUCCUGCACCUCUUCAACAGGCCCGUGCCGGAAUGGGCCUACUAGUGCCACAGAAUUCUCUCUCUCUCUCUGACUUUAGUUAACUUACGCUCUAAGUAUAAUUAACUGUGAAUACAAAUAACUGUGCAUAUGGAACUCACUAUCCAGUUCACUGACACAUCUAAUAACUUGAUAAAUAAAAUGUUUGACUUCGAAAAGAGUAA